CUACGUGCCAGCAGCCGCGGUAAUACGGAAGGUCCAGGCGUUAUCCGGAUUUAUUGGGUUUAAAGGGAGCGUAGGCUGGAGAUUAAGUGUGUUGUGAAAUGUAGACGCUCAACGUCUGAAUUGCAGCGCAUACUGGUUUCCUUGAGUACGCACAACGUUGGCGGAAUUCGUCGUGUAGCGGUGAAAUGCUUAGAUAUGACGAAGAACUCCGAUUGCGAAGGCAGCUGACGGGAGCGCAACUGACGCUGAAGCUCGAAGGUGCGGGUAUCAAACAGGAUUAGAUACCCUGGUAGUCCGCACAGUAAACGAUGGAUGCCCGUUGUUAGUUCACUUAAGAAUUAGCGACCAAGCGAAAGCAUUAAGCAUCCCACCUGGGGAGUACGCCGGCAACGGUGAAACUCAAAGGAAUUGACGGGGGCCCGCACAAGCGGAGGAACAUGUGGUUUAAUUCGAUGAUACGCGAGGAACCUUACCCGGGCUUGAAUUGCAGACGAACGAUUCAGAGAUGAUGAGG
rnacentral:rRNA from 1 species